UACGUAGGGGGCAAGCGUUGUCCGGAAUCAUUGGGCGUAAAGCGCGUGUAGGCGGAUGCCUAAGUCUGUGGUGAAAGCGCCUGGCUUAACCGGGCGAGGUCCAUGGAAACUAGGCGUCUGGAGGCCGGUAGAGGGGGGUGGAAUUCCGGGUGUAGUGGUGAAAUGCGUAGAGAUCCGGAGGAACACCAGUGGCGAAGGCGGCCCCCUGGGCCGUGCCUGACGCUGAGACGCGAAAGCGCGGGGAGCGAACGGG
rnacentral:rRNA from 1 species